UCAACACGGGUAUUGCCUUAGUUACGGCGAGUGAAGCGGCAAAAGCUCAAAUUUUGAAAUCUGGCACCUUCGGUGUCCGAGUUGUAAUUUGAAGAAGGUAACUUUGGAGUUGGCUCUUGUCUAUGUUCCUUGGAACAGGACGUCACAGAGGGUGAGAAUCCCGUGCGAUGAGAUGCCCAAUUCUAUGUAAAGUGCUUUCGAAGAGUCGAGUUGUUUGGGAAUGCAGCUCUAAGUGGGUGGUAAAUUCCAUCUAAAGCUAAAUAUUGGCGAGAGACCGAUAGCGAACAAGUACAGUGAUGGAAAGAUGAAAAGAACUUUGAAAAGAGAGUGAAAAAGUACGUGAAAUUGUUGAAAGGGAAGGGCUUGAGAUCAGACUUGGUAUUUUGCGAUCCUUUCCUUCUUGGUUGGGUUCCUCGCAGCUUACUGGGCCAGCAUCGGUUUGGAUGGUAGGAUAAUGACUAAGGAAUGUGGCUCUACUUCGGUGGAGUGUUAUAGCCUUGGUUGAUACUGCCUGUCUAGACCGAGGACUGCGUCUUUUGACUACGAUGUUGGCAUCAUGAUCUUUAGCCACCCCUCCUAAGGGGAGGUCCAAAAAAAAAAACCGUUAGGGCCGGGGUAAAGGGGAAACCGGGAAAGUGGCGAUAGACGGGGGGGUGCUAAUCCGAGAGGGG
rnacentral:rRNA from 1 species